UCUAACCUACGGGGGGCAGCAGUGGGGAAUAUUGCACAAUGGGGGAAACCCUGAUGCAGCGACGCCGCGUGAGCGAGGAAGUAUUUUGGUAUGUAAAGCUCUGUCAGCAGGGAAGAAGAAUGACGGUACCUGAAGAAGAAGCACCGGCUAAAUACGUGCCAGCAGCCGCGGUAAUACGUAUGGUGCAAGCGUUAUCCGGAUUUACUGGGUGUAAAGGGAGCGCAGGCGGUUUUGCAAGUCUGAUGUUGAAGCCCGGGG
rnacentral:rRNA from 1 species